rnacentral:rRNA from 1 species
GCACCACAAGAACGCGUGGAGCAUGUGGCUUAAUUUGACUCAACGCGGGAAAUCUUACCGGGUCCGGACACACUGAGGAUUGACAGGCAAUGUCUUGGCUGUUUAAUAACCGUUUAUUAAUAAACGGUUUAUUAAACAGAUCGAGUGUUAAAUAUGCUAGUCCUUUCAUGAUUAUGUGAUAGGUGGUGCAUGGCCGUUCUUAGUUCGUGGAGUGAUCUGUCUGCUUAAUUGCGUUUCACUAAGGGCCCAUAAAUUCAAGGUAUGUUAGCAAUCGUCGCUCUAUGGACCCCUUAUUUCAGUUUAUUAAUAAACUGUUAUAAGCGCGCGUCUUGUUUAAAGAGUUUAAGACACUGCGCAUGCUGUUGGGCUCUGAAAGCAACGAACGUGACCGCAACGUCUUGUUGCCUUAAUCAAGUCGGCUGUUUAAUCUGUUUAAUUAAACAGAUAGCAGUCAUUAUGGCUUAUCCGAGGCUAUUUAAAACUAGACGAACCGCUGUUUCUUUUCUUAAACCAGAGGAAGGUUGCGGCAAUAACAGGUCUGUGAUG